rnacentral:rRNA from 1 species
AUUGAACGCUGGCGGCAGGCUUUACACAUGCAAGUCGAACGAGUGGCGGACGGGUGAGUAAUGUCUGGGAACCUGCCUGGUGGCGGGGGAUAACUACUGGCAACGGUAGCUAAUACCGCAUACCAUCGGAUGUGCCCAUAUGGGAUUAGCUAGUAGGUGGGGUAAAGGCGAACCUAGGCGAAGAUCCCUAGCUGGUCUGAGAGGAUGACCAGCCACACUGGAACUGAGACACGGUCCAGACUCAUACGGGAGGCAGCAGUGGGGAAUAUUGGACAAUGGGUGCAAGCCUGAUGCAGCCAUGCCGCGUGUAUGAAGAAGGCCGUCGGGUUGUAAAGUACUUUUGGCGGAGAGGCGGUACCCGCAGAAUAAGCACCGGCGAACUACGUGCCAGCAGCCGCGGUAAUAC